rnacentral:rRNA from 1 species
AGUUUGAUCAUGGCUCAGAUUGAACGCUGGCGGGAUGUUUACACAUGCAAGUCGAACGGCAGCACGGACUUCGGUCUGGUGGCGAGUGGGCGAACGGGUGAGUAAUGUAUCGGAACGUGCCUAGUAGCGGGGGAUAACUACGCGAAAGCGUAGCUAAUACCGCAUACGCCCUUCGGGGAAAGCGGGGACCUUCGGGCCUCGCACUAUUAGAGCGGCCGAAAUGGAUUAGCUAGCUGGUGGGGUAACGGCUCACCAAGGCGACGAUUCGUAGCUGGUUUGAGAGGACGACCAGCCACACGGACUGAGACACGGCCCAGACUCCUACGGGAGGCAGCAGUGGGGAAUUUUGGACAAUGGGGGAAACCCCGAUCUGCGCCAUCCCGCGUGUGCGAUGAAGGCCUUCGGGUUGGGUAAGCACUUUUGGCAGGAAGAAACGGCACGGGAUAAUACCCCGUGCAACUGACGGUACCUGCAGAAUAAGCACCGGCUAACUACGUGCCAGCAGCCGCGGUAAUACGUAGGUGCAAGCGUUAAUCGGAAUUACUGGGCGUAAAGCGUGCGCAGGCGGUUCGGAAAGAAAGAUGGAACUUGCGAGCUUAACUUCUUUGGAACUGCAUUUUUAACUACCGAGCUAGAGUGUGUCAGAGGGAGUGUGAAAUUCGCGUGUAGCAGUGAAAUGCGUAGGGAUAUGCGGAGGAACACCGAUGGCGAAGGCAGCCUCCUGGGAUAACACUGACGCUCAUGCACGAAAGCGUGGGGAGCAAACAGGAUUAGAUACCCUGGUAGUCCACGCCCUAAACGAUGUCAACUAGCUGUUGGGGCCUUCGGGCCUUGGUAGCGCAGCUAACGCGUGAAGUUGACCGCCUGGGGAGUACGGUCGCAAGAUUAAAACUCAAAGGAAUUGACGGGACCCCGCACAAGCGGUGGAUGAUGUGGAUUAAUUCGAUGCAACGCGAAAAACCUUACCUACCCUUGACAUGUCUGGAAUCCCGAAGAGGUUUGGGAGUGCUCGCAAGAGAACCGGAACACAGGUGCUGCAUGGCUGUCGUCAGCUCGUGUCGUGAGAUGCUGUUCAAGUCCCGCAACGAGCGCAACCCUUGUCAUUAGUUGCUACGAAAGGGCACUCUAAUGAGACUGCCGGUGACAAACCGGAGGAAGGUGGGAUGACGUCAAGUCCUCAUGGCCCUUGGCGGGUAGGGCUUCACACGUCAUACAAUGGUCGGGACAGAGGGUCGCCAACCCGCGAGGGGGAGCCAAUCCCAGAAACCCGAUCGUAGUCCGGAUCGCAGUCUGCAACUCGACUGCGUGAAGUCGGAAUCGCUAGUAAUCGCGGAUCAGCAUGUCGCGGUGAAUACGUUCUCGGGUCUUGUACACACCGCCCGUCACACCAUGGGAGUGGGUUUUACCAGAAGUAGUUAGCCUAACCGUAAGGAGGGCGAUUACCACGGUAGGAUUCAUGAUCAAAGUGAAGUCGUAACAAGGCAG